rnacentral:rRNA from 1 species
UGGAAACUNUCUGACUUGAGUGCAGAAGGGGAGAGUGGAAUUCCAUGUGUAGCGGUGAAAUGCGUAGAUAUAUGGAGGNACACCAGUGGCGAAAGCGGCUCUCUGGUCUGUCACUGACGCUGAGGCUCGAAAGCGUGGGUAGCGAACAGGAUUAGAUACCCUGGUAGUCCACGCCGUAAACGAUGAGUGCUAGGUGUUAGGCCCUUUCCGGGGCUUAGUGCCGGAGCUAACGCAAUAAGCACUCCGCCUGGGGAGUACGACCGCAAGGUUGAAACUCAAAGGAAUUGACGGGGGCCCGCACAAGCGGUGGAGCAUGUGGUUUAAUUCGAAGCAACGCGAAGAACCUUACCAGGUCUUGACAUCCCGAUGCUAUUCUUAGAGAUAGGAAGUUACUUCGGUACAUCGGAGACAGGUGGUGCAUGGUUGUCGUCAGCUCGUGUCGUGAGAUGUUGGGUUAAGUCCCGCAACGAGCGCAACCCUUAUUGUUAGUUGCCAUCAUUAAGUUGGGCACUCUAGCGAGACUGCCGGUAAUAAACCAGAGGAAGGUGGGGAUGACGUCAAAUCAUCAUGCCCCUUAUGACCUGGGCUACACACGUGCUACAAUGGUCGGUACAACGAGUUGCGAGCCGGUGACGGCAAGCUAAUCUCUGAAAGCCGAUCUCAGUUCGGAUUGGAGGCUGCAACUCGCCUCCAUGAAGUCGGAAUCGCUAGUAAUCGCGGAUCAGCACGCCGCGGUGAAUACGUUCCCGGGCCUUGUACACACCGCCCGUCACACCACGAGAGUUUGUAACACCCGAAGUCGGCGAGGUANCCUUUUAGGG